rnacentral:rRNA from 1 species
UACGAGAGGCCCAGACGUUAUUCGGAAUUACUGGGCUUAAAGAGUUCGUAGGCGGCGCAGAAAGUAGGGUGUGAAAGCCCUCGGCUCAACCGAGGAAUUGCGCUCUAAACUACUGUGCUUGAGGAACCUAGAGGUGAGCAGAACAGAUGGUGGAGCGGUGAAAUGCGUUGAUAUCAUCUGGAAUACCGGAGGCGAAGGCGGCUCACUGGGGGUUUUCUGACGCUGAGGAACGAAAGCCAGGGUAGCGAACGGG